AUGGCAGCUCCGAGAGCACUUGUCCUCGCCGUCCUGCUGGCGAUCGCCGUCGCCAACGCGGAGGCAGCGUCAGUCGUCGUCGGCCUGGCCAAGUGCGCCGACUGCACCAGGAAGAACAUCAAGGCUGAGGAAGCCUUCAAGGGUCUCCAGGUGGCGAUCAAAUGCAAGAACAUCGACGGCGAGUACGAGAGCAAGGCGGUGGGUGCCCUCGACGGCACCGGCGCCUUCAGCGUGCCCCUCGCCGCCGAUCUCCAUGGCGCCGACUGCGUCGCACAGCUCCACAGCGCCGCCUCCAACGCACCGUGCUCCGGCCAGAAGCCAUCCAAGAUCGUGCCGGUGUCCGAGGGCACCACCUUUGGUGUCGUGGCCGGCGCCAAGACGGACACGGUGGCAUCGCCAGAGUGCGCGUCCGCGACCCUAUGCGGACCAAUCAAGAAGCACAUCAUCGAGCACUUCCACCACAAGAAGCUCGUGCCACCCAAGCCGGAGCCCAAGCCCCAGCCCCACCCUGACUACGGCCCCGUGCCCAAGCCGGAGCCCAAGCCGCAGCCCCACCCAGACUACCACCCCGUCCCUCCCACGCCUACCUACGGCGGCGGCGGGGGAUACCACGGACACCACUGA
rnacentral:rRNA from 1 species